rnacentral:lncRNA from 1 species
UAAGGUGGGUAUAAGGUUGCGGCCUAUAAAAUGGCGCUUAAUGGGUGUACACUCACACCCACCGCUUGCUUGAUCGGUGGAGGGUCGUUAGCCGAACGGGUAGGAUAGGGCAACCUCAUCCUCUCAUUAAAAGUAUAAUAUGAAAUACAAAGUAACUACAUGUUUUUUCAAAAAUUUCCCAAUCUUAGUUACUUUAGGAAAAGUGAAUUGAUGGAAUCCCAUGAAAUUACACUUUGCACCCUUGCUAAGAAGUUAGUGGAGCGUGUGUGGUUUACCGGCACACUAAUUGGUUCUAAGCAAAGGUGGCAAAGGGUGAUUCAUUGUUUAUCAUAGUUCGAUGGAGCGUGUGUGGUUUACCGGCACAUCGAAUAGGUGAUCGUUACAAUGAAGGCACCAUGUAAAUUUGCAUGGUAAUUCACACCCGCUUUGUGAUCCUCGGUAUCCCAGUCACAAACAAGAGGGGCAUAUCAAGAUUUAAACAUGCCAUUCAAAAUUUCAAUGAAUCUCAUCUAAACCUAGGAAUUCUCAUUACAUUUAGAACUUAAAGUUAUGUUUUGUCGUGGAGAAUUAGUGAAUCGUCAUUCACUUACCUUCAAAUUGUUUGCAUGUUCGAUUAUGGCAUCCCUUUUCUAUAUUGUUGUUGGAUCCUAGCCAUAAUUUUCUUAUUGGGUGAUAAUUAGGGAUUCAUAUUCUAAUCUAUCUUUGUCCUUUCUAUUUGUAGAUGUCGAACGCAAACAACAUUGCUGCUAGUUCAUUCACAUUGAUGAGCCUUUGUCAAAAGGUCACUUUCGAUGGGACGAAAUUUAGCGAAUGGAUAAGAUACAUUCGCACUAUUGCUCGCUAUGAGGACAAAGAGUAUGUCCUCGAUGAGAAGCUCAAGAAAAUCAACCCUGAAAUCCCUACUCCAGCUGAAAUGACUGCUUUUGAAACUCACGAUCGUGAUGCAACGAAGGUACAUUGCAUCAUGAUAGCCACUAUGAACUCAGAAUUCCAAAAGUCCUAUGAGGACAUGUACCCGUACGAGAUGCACCAAGACUUGUUGGAGAGAUACCACCAAAACGCGAGACAAGAGCGUUAUGAGAUUUUCACUAACAUGAUUUCCGCUAAAAUGGGUCAUGGAGAGUCUCUUACCGUGCACCUGCAAAAGAUGCAAAGGUAUGUCGACCGUCUUCGCAAGUUGAAUGUUGACUUUGGGGAAGACUUGGCGAUCGACAUGGUGCUUCACUCUUUGCCUCCAAGUUACAAUCAAUUUAGGAUGACCUACCACAUGAACAAAGAAGAGGUCACCCUAAGCAAGCUCCAAGGUCUCUUGAGGGUCGCUGAGAGCAACUUCAAGGACAAGUCUGUUGCACCAACUCCCAAUCCACCCGCUGCUCCUGUUUUGGCUAUUGGACAAGGAAGGGGAAAGAAGAGGAAGGCUUCGUCUAAGAACCAUCGCAAGGUUAAGCCCCGAGAUGGUGCCUCUUCUAGUGGGACCAAAGUUGAUCCUGCUAAACCCUGCCCUAACCCAAAGGAGGCAGAGUGCCACCACUGCCACAAGAUAGGACAUUGGAAGAGAAGCUGCCCAGAGUACCUGCAAGCCAUCAAGGAAGGAAAGAUCAAGCCGUCUUUCGCAGGUAUAUACACAAUUAAAUCUAACGAUUCAUCUCAUGCUAUUUCUUGGGUUCUUGAUACCGGUUGUGGUUACCACAUUUGUUCUAAUGUGCAGGGACUAAGAAGAAAUAGGGAUGUGGAGCAUGGAAGAAUAAAUCUAAUCAUGGGGAACAGAAGAUCGUCGCCUGUGACCAAGAUUGGAGUGUAUUCUUUAGUGCUUAGGAAUGGUUUAUCUUUAGAUUUGAACAAUUGUUGCUAUUCGCCAGAAAUGGCUAGAAACAUCAUUUCAUUUCAUGGUUUGUUUAGACAAGGUUUUAGAUUUUCUUUUAAUAAUGAGAAUGGUUCUAUUUUGGCUUAUCUAAAUGGUGUCUUUUAUUUUGAAGCUAUACCAUGUAAUGGAAUUUAUGAAACUGUUAUGAUUGUUGAUAACUUAGGAAAUGAUGUUUUGAACAUAGAUUCUUCCAAUAGUAUGGAUAAAGCAUCCUUGUGGCAUUGUCGUCUUGGACAUGUCAACAAGAAACGCAUAGCCCAACUCCAAAAGGAUGGAGUGUUGGAGUCAUUCGACCUUAGGGAAGAUGACACAUGCGAGUCUUGUUUACUUGGAAAGAUGACUAAGUCACCCUUCACAAGUACGUGUGAAAGGGGUGAGGGUCUAUUGGACCUAAUACAUACCGAUGUAUGUGGACCGUUUAGAUCAACCACGAAGGAUGGGAACCGCUUCUACGUGACUUUUACCGAUGACUAUAGUAGAUAUGGGUAUAUCUAUUUAAUCAAGCAAAAGUCAGAAACUUUUGAAAAGUUCAAAGAGUUCAAGAAUGAAGUGGAGAAUCAAUUGGGCAGGAAAAUCAAGAUGCUUCGAUCCGAUCGAGGAGGAGAGUACCUAAGUCUUGAAUUCCACGAUUAUCUCAAGGAGUGUGGAAUAGUUUCACAAUUGACGCCUCCUAGGACACCGCAGUUGAAUGGUGUGGCAGAAAGGCGUAAUCGAACCUUAUUGGAUAUGGUUCGCUCUAUGAUGAGUCGUGCUUCACUACCUAUCUCUUUUUGGGGGUAUGCCUUAGAGACUGCCGCCCAUAUCCUUAACCGAGUCCCUACUAAGAAGGUUGCCAAAACACCUCACGAGAUGUGGACAGGGAAAGCUCCCUCGUUGGCACAUAUCAAGGUUUGGGGUUGCGAGGCUUUCGUAAGACGAGAUACUCACGACAAGCUUGAACCUCGAAGUGAGCGAUGUAUUUUCAUCGGCUACCCGCAGACAUCCUUUGGAUAUCUCUUCUAUAGACCGAAGGACAAUGUUGUCUUCGUUGCGAGGAGAGGAGUUUUCCGAGAGCGAGAACUCAUAAGCCAAGGAGACAGUGGGAGGCAAAUCGAACUUGAAGAGAUUCAAGAGUCGAUAGAUGAAGGAACCUCUACCGCUGGCACUCAACCCGAGGAGGAAACUCCGGUUGAACCGAUUGACGAAUCCUUACCUCUUAGACGUUCCGAUAGAGUUAGAGUUCAUCCCCAGUUUUAUGGUUUUCAUAUUACUACCGAAGGGGACACGUAUAUUAGUGAUGGUACACUAGUAAAUCUUGAUGAACCUAAUAGCUAUAAGGAAGCCAUGGCAGGCCCGGAGUCUGCAAAAUGGAAAGAGGCAAUGGAUAGCGAGAUCCAAUCCAUGUAUGAUAACCAAGUUUGGAAUUUGGUUGAUUAUGUGCCCGGACGUAAGACCGUUGGGUGCAAAUGGAUCUUCAAGAAGAAGACCGACGUGGAUGGAAACGUACACACAUAUAAAGCGCGAUUGGUUGCGAAGGGCUUUACUCAAACUCCCGGAGUUGACUAUGAUGAGACCUUCUCACCAGUUGCGAAGAUUAAAUCUAUUAGAGUGAUGCUAGCAAUUGCCGCAUUUCAUGAUUAUGAGAUUUGGCAAAUGGAUGUCAAGACCGCUUUCCUUAACGGAAAGUUGGCUGAGGAUGUUUACAUGGCUCAGCCAGAGGGGUUUGUGGAUCCGAAGCAUCCGAAUAGAGUGUGUAAGCUUGAGAAGUCCAUUUAUGGACUUAAGCAAGCGUCUCGCAGAUGGAAUCUUUGCUUCGAUGAGAAAGUCAAAGAGUUUGGAUUUGUACGAAGCGAAGACGAAUCUUGUGUAUAUGUCAAAGCCAGUGGGAGUAUAGUAAGCUUCCUCGUUCUAUAUGUCGAUGACAUAUUACUCAUAGGAAACGACAUCCCGACUCUGCAGGAGGUUAAGUCCUGGCUCGGGAAGUGCUUCGCUAUGAAGGACCUCGGAGAGGCUUCUUACAUUUUGGGAAUAAGGAUAGUAAGAGAAAGAAGUAAGAGACUAAUUGGACUUAGUCAGAAUACUUACUUAGAGAAGGUACUAAAACGUUUUAGUAUGGAAAACUCAAAGAAGGGAGAACUACCGAUACAAAGUAAUGCCAAAUUGAGUAAGACUCAAAGUCCGAGUACCGAAGCUGAGAUAGCAGAAAUGAGCCGAGUACCAUACGCUUCCGCAGUUGGCUCAAUCAUGUACGCUAUGACUUGUACUCGCCCUGAUGUAGCCUUCGCUUUGAGCAUGGUUAGCAGAUAUCAAGGGAAUCCUGGCAAAGCACAUUGGAUUGCGGUGAAGAAUAUCCUUAAGUACCUUCGGAGGACGAAGGAAUGGUUCUUAGUCCUCGGAGGGAGUGAUGACUUGAAGGUGCGAGGGUAUAGUGACGCCAGUUUUCAGACCGACAGGGACAACUACCGUUCGCAGUCGGGCUGGGUCUUUACCCUAAAUGGAGGAGCAGUGACAUGGAAGAGUUCCAAGCAGGAAACCGUAGCUGAUUCAACGUGCGAAUCAGAGUACAUUGCAGCGAGCGAAGCGUCGAAGGAGGCAAUAUGGCUAAAGAACUUCAUCGGUGAUCUUGGAGUUGUACCUGCCAUAAAGGAGCCCAUGGAGAUUUUCUGUGAUAACGAAGGAGCGGUUGCCUUGACCAAGGAACCGAGGGAUCAUGGUAGAUCAAGACAUAUCGACAGAAAAUAUCACUUCAUUAGACAUCGUGUAGAAGAAGGACAACUCGUAGUGAAGAGGAUAUCAUCAGAAGAUAACCCAGCAGAUCCGCUUACGAAGGGACUGAGUAGGGUUAAGCACUUGCAGCAUGCUAGGAGUAUUGGGCUGAAGGAUGAUAUUAGCAUAGAUUAGAUAGUAUUAGAAACGUGUAAUAGAUAAAUGUAAUUAACAUUUGAUGAUUAAAUAAAGGAGUUUUAUUUAUGAGUAAUGUUACUAUCUUAUGUUAAUUGUUUAGCUAUUGUUUCACUUUGCAUGUUUUGACUUCCAGAAUAAUUGAGUUUAUUAGGAAUAAUCGAAUUGUUCAAAUGGUCCACAAUCGUUCAUAUGUUGGGAGUAGAUAUGAAUGAAGAUUGUCAUGAAUUGGUGUGUAGAAUGUCUAAAUGGUGUUAGACAUAGCAAAGGAUUGCUGCAACGUUCAUGAGUGCUUAUGAACUAGUUUUGAGCAUUGGAAUAAACCCGCGCUUGCUGGAAUCACCUUAUGGAAUACGAUAUAAAAGGUGAUCGCAAGACGAUAAUAUCAUAUAGUCUUAAAACCUAGAUAUAUGGUUUAUUAUUUGUUAAUUGAUUGUACAUUGAUAAUACGAAAACGCAUCAGUAACUUGGUGUUAUAAAACGUAUUGUUGUGUAUAGUUGGUUAAUGAAUAAGUAAAUGCAUAUAAGUCGAAGUUUAUCUGUAACUUUUAUCUAAGAAGGUAAAAGCGAUAUCUCGGCCGCUCGAUGAUUUGAUUUGACUUAUGUGCCGGGCCCGGUCAGAACUGAAUUGAUGUGUUCGAUUAAGUUCUAUGUCAAAUAAAUCAGAGAUCGAGAAACCUAAAUGCUUGACUAACCAUUCCAUAGGAUUGUCAGCAUGAUAUCUAACAGAGGACUGUACGUUCCCUUAUCUAAAGGACAAGAUUGAUUAGAUCAGAGUUGACAGCGUCUUUGAGAGCUACGAUUGCAAACCGAAUUGUACUUGUAUAGUUACUAGACUUAUCCAAGUGGGAGACUGUUGGAAUAGUGUCUAAGGCUGUAACUAUAUUAGGCAAGUAUUUGAUCCGGUUGUGCAUGGUCCUUUUGGGUUGCCUUCACCAUAGCAACUUGAUAGGAUGAUUUAUUAAGAGAGAGUAAAUAUUAUUAAUAUAUUAUGAGAAUAAUAUAAUGAAUAAUAUAUUUGUUAUUUGAUUAAUAUAAGUCAUAGAAUUAAUUAGAAUUAAUUUGGUGACUUAAAGAGAUUAAUUAAAUAAAGGGGUAUAAACUGUCAAUUGUUUGAUAGUUAAGCUUUAGACUGUAAAUCCAUUUGGAUAUGCUAUGGACGAAUUCUAAGAGGAUUAGGAUAGCUAAAAUCGUCCAUUAGAGUUAUCUAGGAAUGGAUUUGGAUAGCCUUAAGAGAAGAUUAUCUGAUAGGGACUUAUCUGUAAUCCUUAAGGAGUCUACAAGUAUAAAUAGACCCCAUGGCAUAGGGAAUUCGACACUUCUGAAAAAGCAAGAGAACUCUGGUCGAAUUCCUCCCCUCUCCUCUCUCCCAAAUCAUCCUCCUUGCUUUGGUGUUUGUAAGCCAUUAGAGGAGUGACAUUUGUGACUCUAGAAGCUCCAAGACCUCAAGAUCAACAAGGAACUCAAAGGUAUGAUUCUAGAUCUGUUUCAAUGUUGUUAUUUAACCUAAUUAGUCAUUAGAAGUCUUGGAUUCAAAGCAUGUUUAUUAGAAAGCCUAGAUCCAAGCAUUAGGGUUUUGCAUGCGCACAUAGGAAAGUUCUUAUGGCUAAAACCCAUCAGUGGUAUCAGAGCCUAGCUUGGUUUUCUUUAAAUUGUUGCUUGAUUAACUGAAACAAACCUGCAAAAUUCGAAUUUUUGGUUUCUGAGUCAUGGACUCGGCGAGUCUCAAAGUGGACUCGGCGAGUAGGCCUGACUCGGCGAGUCCAUUUGUGCACUCGGCGAGUCCAGGCGUCAGGAAUGGCCAGAUUCGGGAUUUCUUUGUGUUUAUCUUAUCUUAACUUACCAUAAACUAAUUAGAUCAACAUUAAUUCGUUUUUCUGAUAAAUAUAACUAUUAUCUUGAUCUAGUUAAAGGUAAUUAUCAACUAAUUAAAUAUUUAAUUUCCUUAUAUGAUAAUUAAUUAAUUAUUUUAAUUAUUUUGGUAAUUAUCUUAAAAGAAAUCUUGAAUAAAUCAAAUAUAGAUAAUUAGGAUAUUAAUUGUUAAUUGGAAUUAUUUGUUAUUUGAUCCUCCAUGUUUUAAAUGUUUAAAACCUACCCUCAUGUUUUGAAAUUUACUUUUGUGAUUAAAAGCUUUAAUUUAGACAACUUAAAUUUCAAACCCUAGAUUUUAAAAGUUUUAAAAUACAACCCUAUACUAAUAUGAUAUUACUAGAAUAAUAUAUAUAUGUAUAACUAAAUGCUAGUCUUACCGUUAGUAGGCCUCAUUCACGAAGCCGAUCUAUAAGGUGGGUAUAAGGUUGCGGCCUAUAAAAUGGCGCUUAAUGGGUGUACACUCACACCCACCGCUUGCUUGAUUGGUGGAGGGUCGUUAGCCGAACGGGUAGGAUAGGGCAACCUCAUCCUCUCAUUAAAAGUAUAAUAAGAAAUACAAGUAACUACACAUAUUUCAAAAAUUUCCAAAUCCUAGUUACUUUAGGAAAAGUGAAUUGAUGCAAUCCCAUGAAAUUACACUUUGCACCUUGCUAAGAUGUUAGUGGAGCGUGUGUGGUUUACCGGCACACUAAUUGGUUCUAAGCGAAGGUGGCAAAGGGUGAUUCAUUGUUUAUCAUAGUUCGAUGGAGCGUGUGUGGUUUACCGGCACAUCGAAUAGGUGAUCGUUACAAUGAAGGCACCAUGUGAAUUUGCAUGGUAAUUCACACCCGCUUUGUGAUCCUCGGUAUCCCAGUCACAAACAAGAGGGGCAUAUCGAGAUUUAAACAUGCCAUUGAAUAGUUUCAAUGAAUCUCAUCCGAACCUAGGAAUUCUCAAAAACACUUAGGACUAAUAGUUUAAGUUUCGUGAUGGAGAAUUAGUGAAUCGUCAUUCACUUACCUUCAAUUUAUUUGCAUGUUAGAUUACGGCAUCCCUUUUCUAGUAUGUAAAUGUUAUUGUUGGAUCCUAGCCCUAAUUUUCUUAUUGGGUGAUAAUUAGGGAUUCUUAUUCUAAUCUAUCUUUGUCCUUUUCUAAUUGUAGAUGUCGAACGCAAACAACGCUGCUGCUAGUUCUUUCACGUUGAUGAGCCUUUGCCAAAAGGUCACCUUCGAUGGAACGAACUUUAGCGAAUGGAUAAGAUACAUUCGCACCAUUGCUCGCUAUGAGGAUAAGGAGUAUGUCCUCGAUGAGAAGCUCGAGAAAAUCAACCCCGAAAUUGCUACUCC